rnacentral:rRNA from 1 species
UACAGAGGGGGCAAGCGUUGUUCGGAAUUACUGGGCGUAAAGGGCGCGUAGGCGGCCCGCUAAGUCGAACGUGAAAUCCCCAGGCUCAACCUGGGAACUGCGUCCGAUACUGGCAGGCUUGAAUCCGGGAGAGGGAUGUGGAAUUCCCGGUGUAGCGGUGAAAUGCGCAGAUAUCGGGAGGAACACCAAUUGCGAAGGCAGCUCGCUGGGACGUCACUGACGCUGAGACACGAAAGCGUGGGGAGCAAACAGG